AUUGAACGCUGGCGGCAGGCCUAACACAUGCAAGUCGAGCGAGCGGCGGACGGGUGAGUAAUGUAUGGGGACUGCCCGAUAGAGGGGGAUAACUAAUGGAAACGGUAGCUAAUACCGCAUACAAUCGGAGAACCCAGAUGGGAUUAGCUAGUAGGUGAGGUAAUGGCCCACCUGGGCGACGAUCCCUAGCUGGUCUGAGAGGAUGAUCAGCCACACUGGGACUGAGACACGGCCCAGACUCCUACGGAGGCGGCAGUGGGGAAUAUUGCACAAUGGGCGCAAGCCUGAUGCAGCCAUGCCGCGUGUAUGAAGAAGGCCCUAGGGUUGUAAAGUACUUUCAGUCGGGAGGCGUUACCGACAGAAGAAGCACCGGCUAACUCCGUGCCAGCAGCCGCGGUAAUUC
rnacentral:rRNA from 1 species